rnacentral:lncRNA from 1 species
CAGUAAACUGCGAGUUUUCAUGGUAGAGAAGCUAGCUUUGGCUGACUAGUAUGCACAGUUGGGGCACCUCGACUUCCACACAAUUUGAAAUCUCAUUUAUAAAUUUGAAAUUCCAUGCAACCAAAAUAAGCCAUACACCAUGACAACAGGCGCUUUUUGUCAACACAGUUAUCUUGGUCUCCUCUUCAAUCUAUAGGUCAUUGUUCAUCAAAAUCACUGGAGCUUCUUUAUGUUGAUUUAUAGGGUCUUGCUCCUGUGGGAUCUAGUGAGGGUCACAAAUACUUUGUACCUUUUGUUGAUAAAAUUUUCCACUAUUUUUACUGUCUUUAAAAUAAAAGAGCAAGUACAAAGCCAUUGCAAAUGGUACUAUCAGAUGCCUUUUGGUUGCAUAAGUCUUAAGAGAGCUUUAGAUUCAACUUCCUACUCUUGAUAUUCUUUUUGAGAAAUCCCCAUUUUCCAUGUGCGCACCAAACAUAUAGAAAUGGAUUUCUCACUUGUUUGCGGACAAGAUUCAACAAAGAAGCUAUAAAUUGUAUCUAAUGUUAAUCGUAUCACUGAUAUAUUCACCAAAACCCUUGGUCAUCCUCUUUUCCUUCAGUUCUGUGGCAAGCUGCAGAUUCCUCGCACCUGUCAGCUUGAGGCGGGUGUUAAGGGUUAAUAUUUUAAGUAAUAUCUAUUUCAAAUUCAAAUAGUUUUUAUGGAAUCUCAUCUAAUUUACUCUAUAAAUAGUGAAAAACGUACUAAAAAGCAGGUUUGGUAGGAACCAUUCAGACCCAACCAGAUCAAAUUAUAUUCUAAUAAUGUAUGUUAAGAAUAUAAAAAAAUGAAUAACAAGUUAACGGACACAACUUUCGUAUAUUUGGNNN